GGCUGCUAUGCGGAAUGCAUCACAAACUCAUCUUUAAAAAUUUGUGACUGUGUUUUCCUAUCCUUCGACUAUCUCUUAACUAAGCCUGAUCCCUAUGGAAGGUAUACGGGAAACCCGAACUGUCACCAAAGCUGGACAUUUGAAGAUCCAUUUCCAAAAUCUUGUAUGUUAAUUGAUCCAAGAGGAGCUAUAGACAACUAUAUUUCGUCUUUACAGGACUGCUUUUCUAAAUGUACCGUUCCUUGCAGGAAGAUACUCUACACUGUGAAACUGAGAAAAAGUUUUCUUUUGACUAGACAUCAGGUAAGUCAUUUUCUUUAGAA